CAGUGGUCUUACGUGCUCCCAACUUGCGCUGUUACAAUCCAUAAUGAAUGCGGCGGCGAGGCUCAUCUUCCUGUCCGCCCGCACCUCCCAUGCCUCACCCUUCUGUCAGUCCCUACAUUGGCUUCCUAUAAAAUAUGGAGCUCAAUUUAAAAUUCUGGUUCUUGCCUUCAAAUCUCUACAUAAUGCUGCUCCCACCUAUCUAUCCUCCCUUAUACACAAGUAUGUCC
rnacentral:lncRNA from 1 species